GGAACGACUGCUAAGACUGGAUAGGAGACAAGAAGGCAUCUUCUUUUUUUAAAAGACCUAGCAAUAGGUAUGCUUAGGGAGGAGCUUGCGUCACAUUAGUUAGUUGGUGGGGUAAAGGCCUACCAAGACUAUGAUGUGUAGCCGGGCUGAGAGGUUGAACGGCCACAUUGGGACUGAGACACGGCCCAAACUCCUACGGGAGGCAGCAGUAGGGAAUUUUCGGCAAUGGAGGAAACUCUGACCGAGCAACGCCGCGUGAACGAUGAAGUAUUUCGGUACGUAAAGUUCUUUUAUUAGGGAAGAAUAAAUGAUGGAAAAAUCAUUCUGACGGUACCUAAUGAAUAAGCCCCGGCUAACUAUGUGCCAGCAGCCGCGGUAAUACAUAGGGGGCAAGCGUUAUCCGGAAUUAUUGGGCGUAAAGGGUGCGUAGGCGGUUAAAUAAGUUUAUGGUCUAAGUGCAAUGCUCAACAUUGUGAUGCUAUAAAAACUGUUUAGCUAGAGUAAGAUAGAGGCAAGUGGAAUUCCAUGUGUAGUGGUAAAAUGCGUAAAUAUAUGGAGGAACACCAGUAGCGAAGGCGGCUUGCUGGGUCUUUACUGACGCUGAGUCACGAAAGCGUGGGGAGCAAACAGGAUUAGAUACCCUGGUAGUCCACGCCGUAAACGAUGAGUACUAAACGUUGGGUAAAACCAGUGUUGAAGUUAACACAUUAAGUACUCCGCCUGAGUAGUACGUACGCAAGUAUGAAACUUAAAGGAAUUGACGGGACUCCGCACAAGCGGUGGAUCAUGUUGUUUAAUUCGAAAGGUACCCGAAAAACCUCACCAGGUCUUGACAUGCUUCUGCAAAGCUGUAGAAACACAGUGGAGGUUAUCAGUUGCACAGGUGGUGCAUGGUUGUCGUCAGCUCGUGUCGUGAGAUGUUGGGUUAAGUCCCGCAACGAGCGCAACCCUUAUUGUUAGUUACCAGCACGUAAUGGUGGGGACUUUAGCAAGACUGCCAGUGAUAAAUUGGAGGAAGGUGGGGACGACGUCAAAUCAUCAUGCCCCUUAUGACCUGGGCUACAAACGUGAUACAAUGGCUGUUACAAAGGGUAGCUGAAGCGCAAGUUUUUGGCGAAUCUCAAAAAAACAGUCUCAGUUCGGAUUGAAGUCUGCAACUCGACUUCAUGAAGUUGGAAUCGCUAGUAAUCGCGAAUCAGCAUGUCGCGGUGAAUACGUUCUCGGGGUUUGUACACACGGCCCGUCA
rnacentral:rRNA from 2 species